AUGUCACUACUCAGUGUUUCAGAGUUUGGAUUAUUUGGAUCAUUUCAGAUUUCACAUUCAAAUUAGGAACCAUACAGUUUCUGUGAAGGAAAAGUAUCUAUGGGGUUUGUGUUGUAUGAAGAUUAAGACAUCCAAGGAACUUCUUAAAACAUGCAGGUCAAAAAUGACUUAUCUGUUAUAUAUUGAGGGGUUAAUGCACUUAGCCAGUGAAUAGCCUUCCAUAGAGGUUGAUGAGAAUGCUGCUCAAGCUGCUGUCUGUAAGUUUAGCUUUUCAUAAACCUACACCCAUACCAUGUGUUUUCCAUGUCUUUCCUUAAAGAGCUCUAGUGCCCCGUCAUUGAACUGGUCACUCCCAAGACCACAUUGUAUCUGCCCCUCAAAAUCCUGCUAAUUUAUACACGGCUGGCAGCAUGAUUAUGAAGGAAGGAGCACAGGAGCAGCUCAGCUGUACCUUUUUGCUUUUUAUUGGGAUCAUUAAAAGAAAACCAUGGGAGCGCCCGGAGAUCCCGUGUCUGUGUCUUGCUUCAACAGUGUUUGGACGGAGCAGACCCGGGGACUCCCUUUGUUAGCGUCCAGCCGCCUCCCAGUGUCUCCAGUCGCAGCCUCUGGGACCAUCUCCUCGCAGCCUUCGGAUCCCAGGACCAGCCAGCACCGUCUCUUCGCGGUUAGCUCCAUACUGCGUAUCAGCCAUGAGCUACCAGGUCCGUCAGAAUUAUGCCAUCGAAGUGGAGGCUGCAGUGAACCGCCUGGUCAACUUGCACCUGCGAGCCUCCUACACCUACCUCUCUUUGGGCUACUAUUUUGACCGGGAUGACGUGGCUCUGGAGGGUGUUGGCCACUUCUUCUGCGAAUUGGCCUAGGAGAAGUGCGAGGGCGCCGAGCUGCUGCUCAAGAUGCAGAACGAUCGCGGAGGCCGGGCACUCUUCUAGGACGUGCAGCAGCCAUCUCAAGAUGAGUGGGGUAAAUCCCAGGAGGCCAUGGAAGCUGCCUUGGUCCUGGAGAAGAGCCUGAACCAGGCCCUUUUGGAUCUUCAUGCCCUGGCUUCUGCUCAUACAGAUCCUCACCUCUGUGACGUCCUGGAAAACCACUUCCUGGAUGAGGAGGUGAAGCUCAUCAAGAAGAUGGGCAGCCACCUGACUAACAUCCUUAGGGUGGCUGGGCCACCAGCCAGCACAGACUGGUGUGCCCCCACCAUCUCUGGGCGAGUACCUCUUCGAGAGGCUCACUCUCAAGCAUGACUAG